CCUACGGGUGGCAGCAGUGAGGAAUAUUGGUCAAUGGCCGAGAGGCUGAACCAGCCAAGUAGCGUGAGGGAUGAAUGCCCUAAGGGUUGUAAACUUCUUUUAUCAGGGAAUAAAAAGGCUCACAGGAGCCUUUUUGAGUGUACCUUAUGAAUAAGCAUCGGCUAACUCCGUGCCAGCAGCCGCGGUAAUACGGAGGAUGCGAGCGUUAUCCGGUUUUAUUGGGUUAAAAGGGUGCGAGGGGGGUGUGUCAAGUAAUUGGUAAAGUGGGCGGGCUCAACCCCAAAGUGCCAUUUGAUAUGGCAGUCUUGAGUACAGGCGAGGUAGGCGGAAUUCGUGGUGUAGCGGUGAAAUGCUUAGAUAUCACGAAGAACCCCGAUUGCGAAGGCAGCUUACCAGUCUGCGACUGACACUGAGGCACGAAAGUGUGGGUAUCGAACAGGAUUAGAUACCCUAGUAGUC
rnacentral:rRNA from 1 species